AUUGAACGCUGGCGGCAGGCCUAACACAUGCAAGUCGAGCGGAUGAAGGGAGCUUGCUCCUGGAUUCAGCGGCGGACGGGUGAGUAAUGCCUAGGAAUCUGCCUGGUAGUGGGGGAUAACGUCCGGAAACGGGCGCUAAUACCGCAUACGUCCUGAGGGAGAAAGUGGGGGAUCUUCGGACCUCACGCUAUCAGAUGAGCCUAGGUCGGAUUAGCUAGUUGGUGGGGUAAAGGCCUACCAAGGCGACGAUCCGUAACUGGUCUGAGAGGAUGAUCAGUCACACUGGAACUGAGACACGGUCCAGACUCUUACGGGAGGCAGCAGUGGGGAAUAUUGGACAAUGGGCGAAAGCCUGAUCCAGCCAUGCCGCGUGUGUGAAGAAGGUCUUCGGAUUGUAAAGCACUUUAAGUUGGGAGGAAGGGCAGUAAGUUAAUACCUUGCUGUUUUGACGCUACCAACAGAAUAAGCACCGGCUAACUUCGUG
rnacentral:rRNA from 1 species